GGAUGUGAGGGCGAUCUGUCACCCCACUGAUUGCCAGGAUUGAUUAAGCUAAUCUGGCUGGCUAGGCUAGUAUCGCCUUCCUCCCUCACUGCUUUACGUGUGUCCCUCCCAAAGAUGUGUUCUAGGUCAAAGAGGACGACCACCCCCAUUUCCUUGAUCAAGGAUAUAGGAAUAGCUAUGCAAUCAUGCUAAAACCUCCAAAAAAAUUCUCAGAGCCCAGUCAGUCACAUGGACCUUUUCCUCCUAGCUUUCUGCAAGAAAACUCAACCUACCUUUCUUU
ensembl:misc_RNA 7SK 7SK RNA